rnacentral:lncRNA from 1 species
CGGAGGCGGAGGCGGAGGCGGAGGCACCAGAUAGAGCAGUAGUGAGAAAGGCAUCUGGGAGACAGCCUUCGCAGAGGCUUUUAUCUCUCUUACAAGGGACCUUGAGAGAGGCUACUAAGAGAGGAGACGAUGUUCAGAGAUUUCAUCUUUCAUUUCCAGUUAUACAACGAAUCGAUCCUCAAGCACUCCAGAGAUCUCAGAUCAGAAAACUAUGGGCCUCCAGAAGAAUGAGACCAGCAUGUGCCAAGCCCUGUGUCCUACCUGCAGCACCAAGAAGAAAAUGUG